rnacentral:rRNA from 1 species
AGCCUCAAGAAAUUAUGCGAGGUACCGCCUGCCCAGUGACCAUUAAAGUUAAACGGCCGCGGAAUACGUGCUAAGGUAGCGUAAUCAUUUGUCUCUUCAUUGGGGACCUGUAUGAAAGGCAUAACGAAGCUCAACUGUCUCUUCUUAUCAAACUAAAAUUGAUGAUUAAGUGAAAAAGCUUAAAUAAAACUGGAGGACAAGAAGACCCUAUAGAGUUUUAGUGCAAAAGGUUAUAAUCAAACAAAAAAAUAGAAAGUAAAAAACCAAAAACACUUUGAUUGGGGCAAUCUAGGAACAAAACAAAACUCCUAAUAAACAAGUUUACUAUAGUAAAAAAUAAGAUCCUCAAAGAGAACCAAGAAAAACUACCUUAGGGAUAACAGCGUAAUCCUUCCCGAGAGACCUAAUUGAAGGAAGGGGUUGCGACCUCGAUGUUGGACUAAGGCAUCCUAAAGGUGCAGAAGCCUUUAAUGGUAGGCCUGUUCGGCCUUCAAAGCCUUACAU